AAUUUGAGCUUAUUGAAUGUGAUAAAUUCAAAAAUAACAUUUAAUAUGCCAAGAAAUUAAUUAGGAUAUAUGAAAACAUGUACAAUGAAAAAGCACAUAACCUCCAAAUCACGGCUUCAUAAGAAAUAAAAUUAUGAUCUUAUGGCAACGCUGUCACAUUAAAUGUCAGGCUUAUUUUGACUUUAUGGUCGGACAUUUAUACAUAAAAACGGUUUUAUUUAUAGCUUAAAAAGGUAAGUAGUGGCACAUAUUGAAGACACUGCACAUAAAUUCGCAAUAAAGUUACCUAACUCAAGUUUGCCGAAUUAAAGAAGAACGUGGAGUUAACUUAAUAAAAAUAUUGUGCAUUUGAAAAUGCAAAGAAAGCAAAAAAGUUCACGAAACAUAUUGUCAUAAAAAUUACAGUUAGCGGAAUGUUUGUAAAAAAAAAUCAGUUAAUUAAUUUUAUACUCAGUGUAAUUACACAUCUAGGCAUGUGCAUAAAAAUUUAGAAGACCAUAAAAUAGCACUUUAAUAAAUGUUCUUUGUUUUAUAUCAUAAAUUUUAAAGCGAUGCCGAAAGUGCUAAACACCAUUUCGGGAACCCGAAAGAAGCUCACCGGCUGCAGUUCAAUGGCAGGUCUAUUGCUGCGACAUUGCUGUUGUUGUUGACACCGAUUGCUGCUCUUCGAUUUUACAGUCAACAAAUAUUGCCAUUAAAUUUCUGAUUAUCUGCUACAGAUGCGAUUAUUGUUGUUGCCGCGGUUAAUUGAGUAAAUUUACAAGUUGCCGAGCGACGAAGACUCAAAGGAAACUCUGUAAGUAUUUAAUUCAAAGGGACCACACUAAAAGUAACGCAAAUCUGAACACAUACCAACAAAAACAUAUUCAGUAAAUAUGAACAAGAAUACAAGAAAGCGCAAAAUGGUUUUCCUAGAAUACGUUAUGCGCCUUUAACUGAUUUGUUGUUAUUUGCAUGGCUGGCCCUUUUAGCUUCCAGCCGAAGUCGGACCAAAAACUCAACAGCAUAAAAUUGUCAAAGUUGUUGAGCAUCAACAGAAAUUUAUGUUAAUUAUGUACGAAUGGGUGUACUUAUGUACAUAUAUGCCUGCUAUCACCGAGUCAAACAAGUCAACAGCAAAAAAAAUAAAUAAAUAAAACAUAAAAAAAAAAAAUUAAAAAAAAUAUGAAAAAAUGUUCACAAAAUGCCCAUGUGUUGGGUCACUAAAGCAAAAAAUCAAAUUCGCUGUCAUUAGCACUGUCGACCGGAAGUUUACACUUACACAUAUGCAGCACAGAGCCAACAACCAACAAAAAAGAGAAAAAAAUUGUAUAAAAAAACUACAACAUUUCGUCGUUUUUUUCGUCCCGUCAUCGACAUCUGAUGCGAUCGCUGGUGAUUUGCCUCUCAUUGAGUAGUUGCUGAUGCCGAUGAACGUACUCUUUGCACGAUGUGCCAGUAUAUACAUGUAUGUAUACGUAUGUCAGUAACUUAGGUGUAAAAUGCUAUAAAUUUCAUUUGUGCAUUCAGAUAUAACCAUACGGUAUGUAUAUUUAUGAGUUUAUGCGUUGCAAACAACAUGAGUUGCUGUCAAAUUGAUGAUCGUCAGCAGCAACAUCAACAGCAAAAUGACAACGUGAAUGCGUUGGAACGAGUUGCAAGCAAACAAAAAGUUUAAAGGAUAAAACAAAAACAAAUUCUAAAAGAAACAUACAUACAUAUUGAGCACUCGCGAAGUCAAUUCAAAACAGAAAUCAGAUAGCGGAAAUGUCGCUGCUUGUCGUAUGUGGCAAUUCAGUAUGACCCGUUAGAAAAUACACUCCGAGUGCUUGAAAUUCUCUGCCGAGGGCGAUCCCAAUUGAAAAAUUACUUUUCUAUAAUUUUGGAUUUUGACUUUCCGAUUAGCAGUAUGGCUAUUGCGACCACCAGAUGUACAUUUGAGUGAGUGCAACGAGCAGAAAAUCGUGUUCUAAGUUACUCAAUUCUUGCACAGGUAAAAAUUAGUGAGCUGGACUCGUUUUACGUAGCUGAAAGUUGAAAGUAGUUCAAGGAUUACCUGCAGAAGAGCUAUUGAUUCGAAAUGGGCGUUCUUUACAAAAGUCCUGUAAGGCCCACACUAACAUAUAGGGCACUAGUAUGAUGGGUGUCAAUAAAGAAGAAGUAUCCUACUAAAACUUUGGUAAAGAGCAUCUCAAAUAUUUUCUGGUUAUAUCAGAAGCUAUGAAAAAUGCCCUGGAAGCCACGAGCUCGGGAUCAACCCAAGCAAUUUACAAAUGUGUAUAAAGCAGCUCUAACAGUCCUUCAGUUCUACAGUCCUUCCUAACUAGGCGCAUACCCUUAACAGUGGGAGAUAUGGCAGCUCACUGAAAGUAAUAACAGAACAGUUAAAGCAUCUAUUUCUUUACGUAUGUUUCAAACUACAACCCUCUCUUCCGAGCAAAGAUUGUGGGCAUUACUGAAGGUGCCAGAGGCAAUUAGCAGAUUAUAACACAGAAGGAAGUAAAAAGGCGGACGAGCUGACUUGCGCUGGCGAAAUAGGCAACCUCAAUUGUAUCAGACCCUUCAAAUUCAGUCUAAAACAAUGCAUCAUGAAGGUUCUGGAGCAUUUCCUCCAUAAGCGCACCACAAAAUUAUUGUAGAGUAGCGUGGAUUAAAGACAAACAAAAUUGUUAGUAGUAAAGUGGAAUUGGCUGAGUGCAGAGCAGGAAUAGAAGAUGGCGGAACGCUGGAGCACUACCUUAGCAAAAUCGUCUCACACAAUGGCUUAGGUGUCUCCGCUUGCAGUCAGGUCCUAAAACUACCAACCAAGCAUAAGAACUCUUAUCAAAAUCUGACACCGAGUGAAUGCUUAAUUUAAAUAAUAAAAAUCUUAGAAAGCUAUAGAGUUUUGUUACUUUGCUUUCGGCAGAUGCUGUUAAAGUGAAACCGUGUUUUAAAACCAGGUCCGAUUUCAAGAAAGAUUAAAAGUUUAGAAAGCUAGAAAUCUGCUAAAUAUAUGUAUCUAAACAAAUUGAAGACUCAACGAAGUAAAUACAAAGAGAAAUCAGAACCUAUUUAACCUAAGAUUACGAGGUUCCCAACUGACUGACUUAAAUAAUACUUAAGCUUAUUCGAUGAUAAAAAUAAACUAAAAAAUAACUGGCUACCUUAAUAGUAGGUUUUUAUAGUUGUAAUGCUUAAGAAUGACAGACUUUCUUCGGCUGCUCAUAACUUGGUUUGAAUUUUUUAUAAUUCUCUGAACUAAAUAGAGACUUUGACAACAAAUUAUUAUAUUUAUUCAAGACGCGCAUAAAUGAAAUUUGUUUUCACGUUUUUGGAUUGAAAUGAUUACCGAGUUGCCGGGAAAUAUGUGAGCUACAUUUGUUUAAUAUGUCUCAUCCUUCGACUGCAAUUCAAAUAAAAUAUGCAGGCGUAUCAAAAUGAAUGAAAAAAUGCAGAGCGAAUAACAAAUACCAACAGAUAUUUGGACAGACAGUUUGGCAGUGAGUUAAUGAAGCAAACGACCUUGUGCGCCUGCGUAGACUCUGGCAUUUCACAAAAAUUUAAUCGCAUUAACAGCACGCAAUGCGCACAAAAACUUGGCUUAUUUUUUCUCCUCUGUCUUGAUUUGCCUGAAGGCGACCGUAAUCCUUUUUUUGACGAGCGCGAUUAUUAAAUGAGGCGCAAAAAUGAUAUCUUGUAUAAACCUACACACACAUUGAAGGCAUACAAACGCUUACGCACUCGUAUAUGAAUGUGUGUAAAAAGUGCCUGGAGUUGGCGAGAUUUUGCGCUGAAUAUUUAUGAGCUGCGCAUAUGGUAAUUUGCUUAAGACGCUGCAAAGAUUUACCCGUACUGAACUGGUGUAAAUCUAGUAGCAGCGCAAGGUAAGCGCCCGCGAAGGUAAGUAAGAAAACAACAGUGUCUUAAUAUGCACGAUAAUUAUUGUUCAGAUAUCGAGUUCGGUGAGCGCAUGCCAUCCAUGCACCACGUAAUACAAGUAGACUCUGUGGAAAUUUUAAUGAGCUCAUCGAAAUUCAGUCAUUAUUAAAACAACAAAAUCGUUACGAAAAGGCAUUUGACAGAAAAAGUAACGAAUAUUCCUCAGUCGCACAGCUAGUCAUACUUGAAAUUUUGAAUGACCACAAAGAUAGAUCUUUUGCUUAACCGUAAUCAGUAAAGAAAGGUUUGUCCUACUGUUUAUUAGGGUUUCUUACACCAACAGUUUCAACCAGCCGAAGCUGAGUCAUUCUGGAGUAAAGUUUAUUUGAGAUUUGUUGAGUCAUCCAUAUGUAAGCCCUAAAAGGAUCUAUUCUAACUUCAUCAAAAUGAAUUUUUUGCGCCAGAACGAAUAUACAGUUUAGUAAUUCAGUUUACUAUUGUAGAAUAAACUGCAAGGGAAAGCUAGUUAUCCUAUGUUUCCCUGCAGUAAAGGUUUUUCGAAUCUGAAUUAGAAAUUAUUUGAGAGUUGACGCUGCGAAAGUUAUAAUCUGUGUUCUCAAAGUGUGGAUGAACUUUUUAUUGGAAACCUUCCAAAAUUUAAAAAAAAAAAGUAUUUUUAAUAAAAAAUUAAGUUAAUUUUUCUAAUUGUGGUCGCCCGUCGGCGCGAAAUGUCCAGUCCUCCGAGCGUAUUUCUAAUAUGUCAUAUAAAAACUCCUCAUAAAAAACCAUCAGCCGCUCGGAGGCGGCUUAGAAUAAACUGUAGCUCCCUACAUUUGUUUGAAAGACAUCAAGACAUCCACCACGAAUUGGAGGAGGAGUUCCUCAUUUAUAUGGUUGCCCGUUCUGCUCUGCUGAUGGCCCAAAAUAUCAAUAGCAAUGCAUGGCUCCAAUAGUGCGUAAUUCAAUUCAUGAACCGACAGUUGACAUUAACUUUCAGUUUGCAAUUUUUUGGAAUAUUUUUCAAUUCUCUUCAAGCAUAAACUUAAUCACUUCGUAAGCCGUAAACCUUGCAUAGACUAUUUGACACAACGGUAAUGUCUUUGAAGAUGCCAAAGCUCAAAUAAGCCAAAGUCCAAAAGGCAAGCUAUAAGGAACGGCGAAACAGUGAGAGAAUUUCGCAGAAAAGUCUAAUAAAUUUGCGGCGUUGAAGAUAACUCUCAGGAGAGCUAAAAAAAAGUAAGUUUCUCUCUUUGGAAAACUUAUUGCGAACGCGUUUAAGGAAGAAAAAAUUUUUACCAUAAUCAUUCUUUACUGGUUUAUGGCGAAAAUGCAGCAAAAUAAAGUUAAAAAUAAUAAUAAUUUGA